UUAAGGGCAUGUGCACACCUUGAUCGCACAUCCACCUCUCACCCCCCUGUGCACUAUCUGUAGCUUGGGAUGAUCACAAAGUUGGAAACAGCUUUGAAAGCCCUUGCUAUGAAUUUUUAUAUACACCAUACAAAAAAGUUAUWGAAUGUAUUAUAUAGCGUGUAAUAGCGCGAAUAAAUACAACUUUCAGCAACGGAUCUCUUGGCUCUCGCAUCGAUGAAGAACGCAGCGAAAUGCGAUAAGUAAUGUGAAUUGCAGAAUUCAGUGAAUCAUCGAAUUUUUGAACGCACCUUGCGCUUCUUGGUAUUCCGAGGAGCAUGCCUGUUUGAGUGUCAUGAAAUCUUCAACUGCUUCAGCUCUUGUAGCUGUAAGUGAAGUUGGAAUUUGGAGGAUAAUUGCUGGCGUAACUUAGGUUGCUUGUUGGCUCCUCUUAAAUAAAUGAGCUUUCCGGUAGAUCAUGGUGAAGUAACACUGAUAUGA
rnacentral:rRNA from 1 species